rnacentral:pre_miRNA from 1 species
AUUAAGAUCAUUUUUCAAUUUUCUGAUACGAUGUUUUGACUCUUCGUCUUAUUUGAAAUUUUUUUGCGAUUAAUAUUUUUAUUCUUACUAGAUGAUAAACAUAAAUAGUACUUUAUGCGUGAUUAAUUUUUUAAAGUUUUUUAAUAAAUUUUUAAAUAAGAUGAAUGGUCAAACGUUGAACACAGAAAAAC